AUGAACGCUGGCGGCGUGCUUAACCCAUGCAAGUCGAACGGGAAACCUUUUAAUGAAGCUUCGGCAGAUUUAGCUGGUUUCUAGUGGCGGACGGGUGAGUAACGCGUGGGUAACCUGCCUUAUACAGGGGGAUAACAGUCAGAAAUGACUGCUAAUACCGCAUAAGCGCACAGGACCGCAUGGUCCGGUGUGAAAAACUCCGGUGGUAUAAGAUGGACCCGCGUUGGAUUAGCUUGUUGGUGGGGUAACGGCUCACCAAGGCGACGAUCCAUAGCCGGCCUGAGAGGGUGAACGGCCACAUUGGGACUGAGACACGGCCCAGACUCCUACGGGAGGCAGCAGUGGGGAAUAUUGCACAAUGGGGGAAACCCUGAUGCAGCGACGCCGCGUGAAGGAAGAAGUAUCUCGGUAUGUAAACUUCUAUCAGCAGGGAAGAUAGUGACGGUACCUGACUAAGAAGCCCCGGCUAACUACGUG
rnacentral:rRNA from 1 species